CUCGGCCCCAGGGUCUUUCUUUCGUUGAAAUCCAAGAUGGCUAAUCUUGUUGAUGGCCAUGUGGCAGAAGAAGAAGUUUACCAAGGUAGACAGUGGUUUCCUAGAAGAUUGCAGUUGUGGAGGAAUGAGUAAUGAUGUCUACAGGGAUUGAAAUUUUAAAGCUUAUACGUCAAUGUACAGAUUACAGAUUUUUGGAGGAAGGAAAUGAUAAUGAUUGGGCCUAAGAACGCAUCAAUUAGGAAAGGCAUGAGAAGUUGUUUGUCAGAAGAAGAAAAGCUAUUACAAAAAAGAUUUAUGGGGGAUAUGAUUUGAUGCAAGAUAACGGCCGUCUGUCACCUCUGAAAAUUUGCUUUUGAUGCAUAAGCUGCCUUGGGGAAGAUCUGACUCUUUAUCUCCUCAUUCAAAGCUAGCCCAAAGAUCAUAAGUGUAUAAAAGAAGGUCAAGAGUGACGAGGUUACUUUUUAUUCGAUUUCUUCGGCCACCCAAAGCUGGACACCAAGGAACUCGAUCACCUUCAGGAUUAGACCAGUGACAAAUAUUAAUUGGAUCGACCUUCACUUCAGUGAAUAAAAUAAAAAAUUGGAGGUCGAUCCGUCCACCAAAGGCGGUUCCCCGUCCACCACCUCUCCCCAUACCCGCCACUUUUGAUCAGUUUUCGUAACUCUUGUUAUAUACCCUGUAGUACAAACAUCUUUUAUUACA